GACGGAGGAUGCAAGCGUUAUCCGGAAUGAUUGGGCGUAAAGCGUCCGCAGGUGGCAGUUCAAGUCUGCUGUCAAAGACCGGGGCUUAACUUCGGAAAGGCAGUGGAAACUGAACAGCUAGAGUAUGGUAGGGGCAGAGGGAAUUCCUGGUGUAGGCGGUGAAAUGCGUAGAGCUCGGGAAGAACAUCGGUGGCGAAAGCGCUCUACUGGACUGCAAACUGACCACUGGAGGGACGAAAGCUAGGGGAGCGAAUGGG
rnacentral:rRNA from 1 species